rnacentral:misc_RNA from 1 species
CCAUUACCUCAACAGGGGGGCUUCAGCGGUGCUUCGGCUCCAAUGGCGCCCGCCUGAUUGACGUUGCCCAUGCCUUUUUGCGUACAGUUUGUUUUCCCAGCAGGGCAUUCUUGCCCCUAUGGGAUAUCAAUCCACCCUUGAAUUUGCAGUCCAUGUCUGAAAAAUAUAAUAAUUA